AUACGGAGGGAGCAAGCGUUAUUCGGAAUCACUGGGCGUAAAGGACGCGUAGGCGGGUUUGUAAGUCAGGUGUGAAAUCCUACAGCUCAACUGUAGAACUGCACUUGAAACUACAGACCUAGAGUAUGGAAGGGGCAGAUGGAAUUAGUGGUGUAGGGGUAAAAUCCGUAGAUAUCACUAGGAAUACCGAAAGCGAAGGCGAUCUGCUGGGACAUUGCUGACGCUGAGGCGUGAAAGCGUGGGGAGCAAACAGGAUUAGAAACCCCAGUAGUCC
rnacentral:rRNA from 1 species